UGUGUAGCGGUGAAAUGCGUAGAUAUAUGGAAGAACACCAGUGGCGAAGGCGGCUGUCUGGUCUGUAACUGACGCUGAGGCUCGAAAGCAUGGGUAGCGAACAGGAUUAGAUACCCUGGUAGUCCAUGCCGUAAACGAUGAAUGCUAGGUGUUGGAGGGUUUCCGCCCUUCAGUGCCGCAGCUAACGCAUUAAGCAUUCCGCCUGGGGAGUACGACCGCAAGGUUGAAACUCAAAGGAAUUGACGGGGGCCCGCACAAGCGGUGGAGCAUGUGGUUUAAUUCGAAGCAACGCGAAGAACCUUACCAGGUCUUGACAUCUUUUGAUCACCUGAGAGAUCAGGUUUCCCCUUCGGGGGCAAAAUGACAGGUGGUGCAUGGUUGUCGUCAGCUCGUGUCGUGAGAUGUUGGGUUAAGUCCCGCAACGAGCGCAACCCUUAUGACUAGUUGCCAGCAUUUAGUUGGGCACUCUAGUAAGACUGCCGGUGACAAACCGGAGGAAGGUGGGGAUGACGUCAAAUCAUCAUGCCCCUUAUGACCUGGGCUACACACGUGCUACAAUGGAUGGUACAACGAGUUGCGAGACCGCGAGGUCAAGCUAAUCUCUUAAAGCCAUUCUCAGUUCGGACUGUAGGCUGCAACUCGCCUACACGAAGUCGGAAUCGCUAGUAAUCGCGGAUCAGCACGCCGCGGUGAAUACGUUCCCGGGCCUUGUACACACCGCCCGUCACACCAUGAGAGUU
rnacentral:rRNA from 2 species